rnacentral:rRNA from 1 species
CGUAGGGUGCGAGCGUUAAUCGGAAUUACUGGGCGUAAAGCGUGCGCAGGCGGUUUGGUAAGACAGGCGUGAAAUCCCCGGGCUUAACCUGGGAACUGCGUUUGUGACUGCCAGGCUAGAGUACGGCAGAGGGGGGUGGAAUUCCACGUGUAGCAGUGAAAUGCGUAGAGAUGUGGAGGAACACCAAUGGCGAAGGCAGCCCCCUGGGUCGAUACUGACGCUCAUGCACGAAAGCGUGGGUAGCAAACAGGAUUAGAUACCCUGGUAGUCCACGCCCUAAACGAUGUCAACUAGGUGUUGGGAGGGUAAAACCUUUUAGUACCGUAGCUAACGCGAGAAGUUGACCGCCUGGGGAGUACGGCCGCAAGGUUA